CGUCGCGUGACAAUGAAGUACUUCGGUAUGUAAAGUUCUUUUAUUGAAAAAGAAAAAAUAAUGGAAAAACUAUCUUGACAUUAUUCAAUGAAUAAGCCCCGGCUAAUUAUGUGCCAGCAGCCGCGGUAAUACAUAAGGGGCGAGCGUUAUCCGGAAUUAUUGGGCGUAAAGGGUGCGUAGGCGGUUUGAUAAGUCUAUAGUUUAAAUGCAGUGCUUAACGCUGUAGCGCUAUAGAAACUGUCUGACUAGAGUUAGAUAGAGGCAAGCGGAAUUCCAUGUGUAGCGGUAAAAUGCGUAAAUAUAUGGAGGAACACCAGAGGCGUAGGCGGCUUGCUGGGUCUUAACUGACGCUGAGGCACGAAAGCGUGGGGAGCAAACAGGAUUAGAUACCCUGGUAGUCCACGCCGUAAACGAUGAGUACUAAGUGUCGGGUUUCGGCUCGGUACUGAAGUUAACACAUUAAGUACUCCGCCUGAGUAGUACGUACGCAAGUAUGAAACUUAAAGGAAUUGACGGGACCCCGCACAAGCGGUGGAUCGUGUUGUUUAAUUCGAAGAUACACGAAAAACCUUACCGGGUCUUGACAUAAUUUUGCGACAUUAUAGAAAUAUAAUGAAGGUUAUCAGAAUUACAGGUGGUGCAUGGUUGUCGUCAGCUCGUGUCGUGAGAUGUUAGGUUAAGUCCUAAAACGAGCGCAACCCUUGUCGUUAGUUGCGACCACGUAAUGGUGAGCACUUUAGCGAGACUGCCAAUGAAAAAUUGGAGGAAGGUGAGGAUUACGUCAAAUCAUCAUGCCCCUUAUGAUCUGGGCUACAAACGUGAUACAAUGGCUGUUACAAAGAGUAGC
rnacentral:rRNA from 1 species